rnacentral:ribozyme from 15 species
GGGCCGCCGUGCCCAAGCAGAGGAAACUCUCCCCCUCGCGGUCUCUGGCGCUGCAAUCUGCGAGGGGCGAGUUGAGGAGCAGGAGCUGGCGCAGAA